AUUGAACGCUGGCGGCAUGCCUUACACAUGCAAGUCGAACGGUAACAGGUCUUCGGAUGCUGACGAGUGGCGAACGGGUGAGUAAUACAUCGGAACGUGCCUAGUAGUGGGGGAUAACUACUCGAAAGAGUGGCUAAUACCGCAUGAGAUCUACGGAUGAAAGCAGGGGAUCGCAAGACCUUGUGCUACUAGAGCGGCCGAUGGCAGAUUAGGUAGUUGGUGGGAUAAAAGCUUACCAGGCCGACGAUCUGUAGCUGGUCUGAGAGGACGAUCAGCGACACUGAGACUGACACGCGGCCCAGACUCCUACGGGAGGCAGCAGUGGGGAAUUUUGGACAAGGGGCGAAAGCCUGAUCCAGCAAUGCCGCGCGCAGGAUGAAGGCCUUCGGGUUGUAAACUGCUUUUGUACGGAACGAAAAGCCCCGGGUUAAUACCCUGGGGUCAUGACGGUACCGUAAGAAUAAGCACCGGCUAACUACGUGCCAGCAGCCGCCGUAA
rnacentral:rRNA from 1 species